rnacentral:lncRNA from 10 species
AAUUCAUCAUUUUCCUAGCAAUCUACCCAAUUCCCCUGGCUGUAAGCUGGCUGCUACAUAUGAUUCUUUGUGACUGCAAAUACUGUGUAUAAGAAAGGAUCUAUUUCAGCAAAUCCUGAGAGGAUUAUUUGUGUAUCCAAAACAUUAGUCAAGCUAACACAUAGGGUCUGUGGGUCAGACCCAGCUGGUGGUGCCCCACAUGAGGAAUGCUACAACAGAUCGUGAUGAAACCUUUGGAACUAAAGGUGAAGAGACUGUGCAGUCAGAUCAAAGCCAGAAUACAAGCAGUGACCACCAUGCCUGAGAGACCUGUUGCUGCACACAUCUGUACUCUUCAAUCAACAAACCUGAUAUAAAAAACAGAAAAGGGGAAGGUAUAGGAGUUCAGUCAGGUGGUGGGAAAAAUUAUAAGAGGAAAUUAUAGAAAGAAGCAAACCUCCUUGGAAGUCCAGGAGGUUUUACAAAAGCUUUGGAAAAGGAUUUGGCUGAAGGCAGCCAGAUUCUCUUACCUGGUGCCUGAAAGCUUAGGUUAGAUAACAAGGGGGUAUAAAGAAACUGAUCUAGACACAUUAGUUUACUUAGGCCUUGGAACCUGGCCUGUAAUCAUCCACAUGCAGGACUGCUCAAUGGGGGCUGGGGGUGGUGGGGGGGCACAGGGGGAGGGGGACGGUGGCAACCAUGUUGAUUACCUGCAAGUGUGUUGACUCAAAGCCUUUGUCAUUAAAUCUGUACUAAAUAAAUGCCCGCAGUGCCAGCUUGUCAGGGCUGCAGCUGCUUCAACUCUUUCUGUGAGCGGCUCAGUCCCCUAGCCCAC